GAUGAACGCUGGCGGCGUGCCUAAUACAUGCAAGUCGAGCGAAUGGAUUAAGAGCUUGCUCUUAUGAAGUUAGCGGCGGACGGGUGAGUAACACGUGGGUAACCUGCCCAUAAGACUGGGAUAACUCCGGGAAACCGGGGCUAAUACCGGAUAACAUUUUGAACCGCAUGGUUCGAAAUUGAAAGGCGGCUUCGGCUGUCACUUAUGGACGGACCCGCGUCGCAUUAGCGAGUUGGUGAGGUAACGGCUCACCAAUGCAACGAUGCGUAGCCGAGCUGAGAGGUAGAUCGUCCACACUAGGCCUGAGACACGACCCAGACUCCUACGGGAGGCAGCAGUAGGGAAUCUUCCGCAAUGGACGAAAGUCUGACGGAGCGACGCCGCGUGAGUGAUGAAGGCUUUCGGGUCGUAAAACUCUGUUGUUAGGGAAGAACAAGUGCUAGUUGAAUAAGCUGGCACCUUGACGGUACCUAACCAGAAAGCCACGGCUAACUACGUGCCAGCAGCCGCAGUAA
rnacentral:rRNA from 1 species